GACUGUGAAGUAGGUCUGGAGGAUCUGCAACUAGACAUUCCUUGGAAGAUGUUAGUGAGUUAAGGUAGUAGAGUCCUUCUGAUUCAAGUCAUGUUCCAAUCGUCUGUUCCGUACUGUGGUCCUGCAUAAUAAAAGAAUCAAUAAUAAAAUAUAUACCGCAAUGGAGGGCACGAGUCAAACGACUAACAGAUGCAAGAUUAAAAG
rnacentral:lncRNA from 1 species